rnacentral:lncRNA from 1 species
GACCUUCUUCUAUGCCUUUUCAGUUGUUUACUCCAACUCCUUCCAAUUACGAUCAGACUGGAGGGGAAGGCAUGGCUAGCACGUCGUUCGACUUCUUCUCCCCUGCGCAACCACAUACUCCAUCAGAGUCUGUUUUUCCAGCAUUCCCUCGACAAUCACUGGAUGAUCCCUCAAGCCAACUUAGCUUGUUUUCUUCGGAUUUUCCUGAGUUAUUUUCUGCAACCCCUUAUUCAGGAGAUUUCGGCUUUGCAACUCAGGAUCCAG